rnacentral:rRNA from 1 species
UCUAUAUAUAUUAAAGAGUAAAAUUGAUUUAAUUUUUUUGUAGACAAGAAUUAAUUGAGAUUGAAGCUAAAGAGUUUUAGUUAUAAACUAGGAUUAGAUACCCUAUUAUUCUAAAAUAAUUAUUUACCUUAGUUAGUAAUAGAUAUUUACUUAAAAUCUAAAAAAUUUGGCGGUAAUUUAAUCUUUUCAGAGGAACUUGUUUUUUAAUCGAUAAACCGCGAAAUAUCUUACUUAUUUUGAUAAAAAGUUUGUAUACCGUCAUUAUCAGGUAAUUUUAAAAAAAUGAAUUACUGGGAGUAAUAGUUUAAUUAAAUUAGAUCAUGGUGCAGCUUAUAGAUAAGUUAAAAUGAGUUACAAUAAAUUAUUUUAUACGAAUAAAUAAAGGUAAAUUUGUUUAGAAGGAGGAUUUGGUUGUAUUUUGAGUUUAAUAUGCUUGAAAGAUGAUAGCUCUAAAUUAUGUACAUAUCGCCCGUCGCUUUCAUUUAUGGAU